CUUAUUUAAUCUUUAUGAAUCUACUCACUUCAUCAUUACAGACAUCUCCAAAAAUGAGCUGUCAGCAAUGCGGGAUGACAUUGGGUCCACAGGAUGAAUUUAUUUGCUGGACAUUCCUACAGGGUGUCACGUCAGCAUAACUGGAAGAGCCUUGCCAUAUGACUCCUAUUUCACAGGAGAACAAUGCAUUUAUUCCAUCACACAGUAACAACACCAUCCAGAAGCAAUGCAGAUGCCAAGAAAUGGGAUCAUGACUCUCUAUCACAAUGAUUUAAAGAGUGGUGUUCAAAAAGUUCAGAAGCUCGCCAAAAAGAAUGGUA